rnacentral:lncRNA from 1 species
AAAAACGUGGUGAACUUGUUGAUUAGGGUUUCCACACGUUUUGGGAAGCCUCAUUCUCUUCUCUUCUUCAUCUUCUUGCUCUUGAUGUUUAUGAACCAUUAGAGGAGUGACAUUUGUGACUCUAAGCUUUCUAAAGUCAUUACAAGGAGGAUUUGAGAUUGUUAUUGCUACAUAACAAUCAAGGUAUGAUCUAAACCCUAAUUCAUAUGUUAUAUUGAUUAUCAUAUGCUAGAUCUAGGAUUUGUAGUCUUGGAUGAAUUGCAUGUACAAUAGAGAAACCUAGAUCCAAGCAUUAGGGUUUGUAUGAGCACAUAGGAUGUUCUUAUAGCUAAAACCCAUCAGUGGUAUCAGAGCCUUGAUUGGUUCCUAUUGUAUUGAUGCCUUGUAUGUUUGUUCAAGUUGCAAAAUCAUUUUUUGGCCCAUCUGCCUGAUGAACUCGGCGAGUUCCAUUGUGGACUCGGCGAGUCCAUAGGGAUACUCGGCGAGUUCGAGCGUCAGAAAGAGGGGAUUUCAGGAUUUCUUGUUGUUUUACUCAUGGAUACUUGCCUUAUCUGUUUUAGGUCAUUAAAAUCCGAUUUUAUACAUAUUUAUGAGUAUAUCCAUGAUUAAACAAAAGAUAAUUACCAAUUGAUUAGAUAAUAACUUACUUAUAUGAUAAAGUUUGAUUAUUUGUAUUAAUUGGGUAACUUAUUUUGCAAGAAAUUGAAAUUAGGUCAAAUAUAGAUAAUGAUAAAAUUAAUUGUUUAAUUUAUAUUAUUUGUUAUUUGAUCCUUGUGUUAUGAAAAGUUUCAAUUUUCCCCUUUAGGUUUUAUAGUUUAAAUUUGAACUCAAAAGUUUUGUUUUGAAAUUUAAAUAGUUAAAACCCUAAUGUUUUGAAAAAGGUUUCAAAACUUGCCCUCAAGUUUUGGAAUUUAAAUUUUGAUUAAAAGUUUAAUUUUGAUGUAUAUUUAAAUUCUAAACCCUAAUGUUUUGAAAUGUUUCAAAACUUGCCCUCAAGUUUUGGAAUUUAAAAGUUGAUUAAAAGUUUAAUUUAGGAAUGUUAAAUUCUAAAACCCUAGUAUUGUUUUGAAAAGUUCAAAUCACACCCUUAUGGUUUUAUUAAUUAAUUAAGGUGUAUAAUUAAAAGAGGUUUAAUAAAUCCAUAAAAGUUUUGGUUUACAAUUUAAUUGAAUUAAAAGUAUAAUUGUUAAUUUUGACCACCUAGUAUUUUGAAACUGUAAAAUACACCCUAUACUAUAUAUAACAUUAAAGGUCUAACAUUAUAUAUAUGUAUGAGUAAAAGUCAGUCUUACCGUUAGUAGGCCUCAUUCACGAAGCUGGUCUAUAAGGGGUGUUUAAGGAAAUUGCCUAUAAAAUGGCGAUUGAAUGGGUAUCCACUCUUACCCACCGCACUUUUGACUAAUGGAGGGUCGUUAGCUGAACGGGUAGGAUAGGACAGAGCCUUCCAUGAAAUUACACUUUGUACCCUUGCGAAGGCAUUAGUGGAGCGUGUGUGGUUUACCGGCACACUAAAUGGUUCUAAGCAAAGGUAGCAAAGGGUGACUCAAUGUUUGUCAUAGUUCGGUGGAGCGUGUGUGGUUUACCGGCACAUCGAAUAGGUGACUGUAACAUGUGAGGGCACCAUGUAAGUUUGCAUGGUUAUUCACACCCGCUUUGUGAUCCUCGGCAUCCCAGUCACAAACAAGAGGGGCAUAUCGAGAUUUAAACAUGCCAUUGAAAUGUUCAAUGAAUCUCAAAGGAUCUAGGAGUUUUCAUAGAUUUAAAACUUAAAUUUCUUUUUCGUUUUUCAUGGUGGAAAUUAGUGAAUCGUCAUUCACUUACCUUCAAAUGUUCUGCAAUUUGGGUUACGGCAUCCCUCUCCCGAGUUGUAGAAUAUUGUGUUGGGUCCUAGCCUUAGUAUCUCAUUUGGGUGAUUUACUAAGGACUCAAUCAAUCAACUAACUUGAAUACGUUUUCUCCCGUUUUGUAGAUGUCAAAGUACAACAACUAUGGUCUUCCCAAAUCCUGUGGAACAAGCAUUCAACAUAAAGAUGAUAUUCCACGAUUCGAUCGAGGAACAAGAAAUCAUGUUUCACUUCCUCCACCUCCUCCGAUUAUUCUCCCUAACCCACAAGAUCAAAGAAUUGAAAGGUUCAAUGUCACUAAAACCCUAUUGGAAAUGAAACAUGAAGAUGGUAAACCCGUGUGUGCCCACAUUCUAGGAAUGAAGUCACACAUCGAUAGGUUGAUAAUGUUGGGUGCGUCAUUCCCUGAUAAGUUGGUUGUGAACUGGGUUCUGUAGUCACUUCCUGAAUCAUAUAAUGAGUUCAAAAGAAAGUAUUAUAUGAUGGAUCAUGACGAAAACCUCAUUGACCUAACUUACAUGCUCAUUGCUAUUGAAUCAGAAAUGAUUUGGCAAAGCAAUGGAGCAUAUUUGUUAGGAAAGUCAACCAACCAUACUUCUGAGGACGUUCUAGGAGAACCGACCUGCGUUUGCUGCCAAGAGAAAGGGCAUUGGAUACAAGUCUUCCCUAAGAGCCUGAAGAGUCCAGAAGAUGGGAGAGUCAAAGAGUAUGGAUGUGCUUCAGGUAAAAUCCACUAUCUAACUCCAUUAAGUUCCUAUUCAUCGAUUCUUAAUACAUGAUGUGAUAAGAUUGCAUUUGAAUGUUUUGCAGGAUCGGUGAAAAUAAAGGAAGCGUGAUGGAAAAGCAAAAUGUGUCUAAUCACAAAGAAAUGGAUCUCGAUCGCAUGGACUUGAAGAUUAUAUUUUGAGCUUAGAAAGUUAUGAUAGAGUUGUUAGGAAUUUUUCUUUUGACUACAUAGUUUUCAGUUGAUUUUGCAUUAUAAGGACAAAUGUUUUCCGCUGCUUUUAUGAAUAAAAUAAAUUUUGUUUGACAUAUUUAUUUAUUUAUUUCCUUGCAAUGAAAUCGUUAUGAAAAAUUGAUGCUCGCAUAUUUCUACAACAAAUAGAUGUGAUUCUUAAUUAUGUUAUUUAUGGAAAUGUCAAGAAUUUACCAAAUAGGGAGAGCUUCUCAUCGCUCAAGGUUCAGUUGGACAGAAACAUGGAAUUAUGAAAGUUGGUUGCACAAUAAAUGAGAAAUUUCAUAUUUGGGAAUUAGACUAAUUCGUUGACGAAGUGUCAAAUGAAGGACUAGGAGAUCGAGUACACAAAGUUGUGUGUUGAUCAAAUCCACCAAAAGAGUAACAAAGAUAUUCGUCAUGAUUUACUAAACGUUUAGUAAAUAUGAUUAUACUUAUAAGAUUAAGUGUAAUUCUGAAUUGAUUGAAAAAGUUUAAAUCAAUAGCAGAACGAAUAAGAAGAAUCAAGUAGGCAGAAAGAUAAAAGUUUCUCCAUUCUAAGAAGAAGGGAGAGUACCUUUUAUGCUUUAUGAUAGGUCUUAAUGAUUAAGAACCAUAUCUCAGUUGAUCCUCUAAGUGAGUCUUAGUGCAAUGGUAUGUCUAAGAAGAGAAAUCGAGAAUUGAAGAAAUGGUUAAAUAAAAAAGUCAAUCAUACUUCAUUCCAAAACAAAUCUUAGAGUUAAGAUUGUGACAUUGAGUGACAAGUCUUAAGAAGGUUCAUAACAUUCAUCAAAUGUAGAAUUUAGAAAAAGGUUUUUCUUAUUCUUGCACAUUUGGAAUUGGUAAGUUGUGAUGUCUUGGAUAAGACAAAGACCAACUAGGACCAAUUUUAUGAAAUGUUUUGUCUUGAUAAAAGCUGCACUAACUCUUGAAUAUUUGUUUGUCGAGAAAUGUUUAUUGACAAAAGAAUGUUAUAUGUCAAGGAGUUAGUGGGAGUCUUAAUGGUCUCGAAAAAGUUUCAAGAACUAAUCAAGAAUAAACUUUAUCGAUCAUCACUAGCACACGAGUUGAGGUUUACAACCUAUCGUGUUGACACUAUAUUGUUUCUGUGCCAUUCCAGUUGAGUUAAUUAUUCAUGUAAGUCCUAUGAGUUCUCAUUUGAAUGCAUAAAAGGCAAGGACCUUGAUUAAUGAAAAGUGCAUUGAUAGGAAAGGGUGAGCCGCUUGACUACUUGGAAGACAUGGUGGGCAGCUAUGUUACCAUAUGGCAAGAAAUCAAGAUUAAGAAAGUUCAGUCCAUAUGAGUUUGAAUUUAUCGUAAACUUUGGUUUUGACAAAUUCACAUGGAUAGGAACACAUAAACCAUUAAAAUCUAAGUGUCAUAAGAUUCCCUCCUUCAUGAAAAUGACUGUGAGGAAAUGCUUUCACUAAGAGAGAUUUUAAGAAGAUAGUGAUUGUGAAAAUUGGGUUCUCAAAUUCGAUUAUGGUUACGGUAUCCCUUUCCAUAAUUUGAAUUGUGAGGUUUGGCAAUUGUUUAGACACACAUAUGAACUAUCUAAGGCAAAGGUGUAUAAGUUCAAGAAGCCUUGAUAAAAGAUUAUCAAAGCACUAAGUAUUAGAAACAUGAACUUAAGAAAUUCAAUAAGCAUUGUUUUUCUGAAAGUUAAGCUGUUUCUGAAUACAUGUCAAAGCUAGUGGGAGCAUAAGUGUUAUGUUUAUAAUAAUCAUCGUGAUAGUGGGAGCAUAAAUGUUAUGAUUGUAUGAUUAUUAAGGAAAGUAUUGCAAGUUGGCAAUAUUAAUUAUAGAAAACAAGAGUCAUUCUUUGCAAAGUUGUAAGGAUGGAAUAGUUGUUUUGCUAUAAUUAAGGGAGAGAAUAUUAUGCUUCAUUUCAAAUCUAAAGGCUUAGGUUGUGGAAUGUUAAUAAAUUUAGUCAAAGGUAUAUAGUGUGUUCUUAAAAUUUCGAUUAUGAUUACGGAAUUCCUCUUCACAAUUUGAAUUUUUGAGAACAUAGCAAAUAAAACAUUAUGGCAGAAGAUUGAUGAAGUAUCAAAUCUUUAUGUAAGACAUUUUGCAUCGUGUCCCAUACGCUUCGGGUAUUGGAUCAAUUGCAAAUGCUAUAAUAUUUUACCAUUCUAAAAUUUGCAUCGUGUCCCAUACGCUUCGGGUAUGAUUAUUAAGGAAAGUAUUGCAAGUUAGCAAUAUUAAUUAUAGAAAACAAGAGUCAUACUUUGCAAAGUUGUAAGGGUUGAAUAGUUGUUUUUCUAUAAUUAAGGGAGAGAAUAUUAUGCUUCAUUUCAAAUCUAAAGGCUUAGGUUGUGGAAUGUUAAUAAAUUAGUCAAUGAUACAUUGUGCGUUCUUAAAUUUCGAUUAUGAUUACGACAUUCCUCUUCAUAGUUCGAAUUGUGAGAACGUAGCACAUAAAAUAGUAUGGCAGAAGAUUGAUAAAGUAUCAAAUUUUUAUGUAAGACAUUAUGCAUCGUGUCCCAUACGCUUCGAAUAUAGGAUCGAUUGCAAAGUCUAUAAUACUUGACCUUUCUAAAAUUUUCCAAAUGUCUAGCGCAUUUAGAGGGAAAAAGACAAGAAUCGGUUUCGACUAAGAUAAUUAAACAACUAUCAAAGGACAAUCCAAAGUUCGCCAAGGAUUGGUUGCUUGUGAGUAGUUGGAAGUAUGGUAUUGGAUGGACCAUAUCGACAUUAUUAUGAAUAGAUAAGAUUCUAUUAAGAAUGAGUUGUCAUAUGGCAAAUAUGGAAAUGUUUCUAUAUUGGGAGUUGGAUAUUGAGAGUCUAUGUCUGGAUUAGAAACUUUUAUUCAAGAAAGGAUGUUCAAAGGAAUGUACUUUGAGUGAGAGGCAUCACAUCUAUGGAAUUUUCUUGUAACAAUGCCCGAUAGAGGACUUUGUAAUUUUAUUGGCAAUAGUCAUUGUGACUUUAGUGCAGUGACAUUAUGAAAGGAUCAUUGCAUAAAAUGUUAGAAUCUAGCAUAUUCUAUAAGUGGCAAGAAUUUGAUAUUCUUUCACUUGUGAAUAGGAUUGGGAGUUGUGAAAUGAGUAUGAUUGGAAAUGUGUUCAUUUGAUCUAUUUCACAAAGUAAGAACCGUAGGUAAAGAUUGUGUGCACGCUAAGAGCAUGGGACAAGUGUUGUAAUAAUUCAAGUAAAAAGUUGAUUACCCGAAACAACAAAUAAUGAGUAAUCGAUAUGGUGAUAAAUAAAAGGUGUUUUAUUUAUACUCAAAGGUUUGAGGCCAUAUGGGAUUAGUAUUAUUCUUGUGUUUCACUUUGCAUGUUUUGACUUCCUGAAUAAUUUAAUUGGUUCAGAACAGUCAAAUUAUUCGAACGGGCCACAGUCGUUCAUAUGUUGGAAGUAGAUAUGAAUGAAGACUGUCGUGAAUUGGUGUGUGGAUUGUCUAAAGAGUAUUAGACAUAAGCAAAUGUUUGUUGCAACGUUCAUGAGUGCUUAUGAAUAUGAUUUGAGCAUUGGAUUAAACCCACGCUCACUUGGAUCACUCCAUGAAUUGUAUCACGAGUGAUUGGUGAGACGAUAACAUCUUAUAUUCUUGAAACCGAGAUGUGUGAGUUGUAUCUUGCAAAUCGGUUGCACAUUGAUAAUAUGUAAACGCACCAGUAACUUGGUGUUAUAAAACAUAUUGUUGUGUGUUAUUCGGUGAGUAAGUGCAAGCGAGCAUUGAAUCAAAGUUUAUCCGUUCCUUUUAUCCAAAGUAGGAUAAAAGCGAUAUCUUUGGGCCCCUCGAUGAUUUAGUGAUGACAAACGUAAAUGCUCGGCCGGGCUAGGGCUAAUUUGAUUUGUUCAAUUAGUCAGUCGUCAUAAAUCGGAAGUCGAGAAAUAGUACAGAGAGAAUGAUUAGAAAUCAUGUCUCAUACGAUAUCUAGAAUGGAGGAAUAUAUGAUCCCUUAUCUAAAGGACACGCGUAUCUGAUAGGAUCAGAGUUGACAGCGGCUUUGGAAAGCUACGAUUGCAGAUCAGGAUCUGAAGUCAUACGCAUAAUAGUUAUUAGACUUAUCCAAGUGGGAGACUGUUGGAUUAGUGUCUAAGUCCAUAACUAUUUUGGUAUGUACUUGACCCGAUGGUGCAUGGUCCUUUUGGGUUGCCUUCACCAAAGCAACUUGAUAGGAUGAAUUAUGGAGAGAAAGGAUUAAAUAUGAUUUAUUAAUAUAUUAUGAGAAUAAUAUAUUAAAGGAGAAAUCAUAUUGUUUAAUUAAUAUUAGUCAAGAAUUAAUAAGAAUUAAGUUUGUGACUAAAAAGAGAUUAAUUAAACUUAAGGGACUAGAACUGUCAAUUGUAUGAUAGUUGAAUAUUGGCUAAUGGACUCCAUAUUAAAGGGGUGGACGAAUUCUAUGGGGAAACCCAUUAGAAAUCGUCCUAGGCCUUUAAGGAAGGAGUCUAUGGGUUGUUUAAGGGCUUAAGCAUCCAAAUUAGGGUUUCCUUGUUAGAUAACCCUAAUAGCCUCACUAUAUAUAGAACCCUUAUGCCCCAAAAACGUGGUGAACUAAUUGGUUAGGGUUUCCACACGUUUUUGAGAGCCUCCUUCUCUUCUCCUCUUCAUCCUCUUGCUCUUGGUGUUUGUGAACCAUUAGAGGAGUGACAUUUGUGACUAUAAGCUUUCUAAAGUCAUUACAAGGAGGAUUUGAGAUUGUUAUUUCUACAUAACAAUCAAGGUAUGACCUAAAUCCUAAUUCAUAUGUUAUAUUGAUUAUCAUAUGCUAGAUCUAGGAUUUGUAGUCUUGGAUGAAUUUCAUGUAUAAUAGAGAAACCUAGAUCCAAGCAUUAGGGUUUGUAUGAGCUCAUAGGAUGUUCUUAUAGCUAAAACCCAUCAGCUGCAUCAAGAUAAACUUCGUGAUCUAUGAGAGUCUGCACCAGGCACUUAGCAUUGUAAAGGGGUUGGCCUAGCGGCCAAGAC